CACGCCGUAAACGAUGAGUGCUAAGUGUUGGGGGGUUUCCGCCCCUCAGUGCUGCAGCUAACGCAUUAAGCACUCCGCCUGGGGAGUACGGUCGCAAGACUGAAACUCAAAGGAAUUGACGGGGGCCCGCACAAGCGGUGGAGCAUGUGGUUUAAUUCGAAGCAACGCGAAGAACCUUACCAGGUCUUGACAUCCCAUUGACCACUGUAGAGAUACAGUUUUCCCUUCGGGGACAACGGUGACAGGUGG
rnacentral:rRNA from 1 species